UGGGGAAUUUUGGACAAUGGGGGAAACCCUGAUCCAGCCAUCCCGCGUGUGCGAUGAAGGCCUUCGGGUUGUAAAGCACUUUUGGCAGGAAAGAAACGUCAUGGGUUAAUACCCCGUGAAACUGACGGUACCUGCAGAAUAAGCACCGGCUAACUACGUGCCAGCAGCCGCGGUAAUACGUAGGGUGCAAGCGUUAAUCGGAAUUACUGGGCGUAAAGCGUGCGCAGGCGGUUCGGAAAGAAAGAUGUGAAAUCCCAGAGCUCAACUUUGGAACUGCAUUUUUAACUACCGUGCUAGAGUGUGUCAGAGGGAGGUGGAAUUCCGCGUGUAGCAGUGAAAUGCGUAGAUAUGCGGAGGAACACCGAUGGCGAAGGCAGCCUCCUGGGAUAACACUGACGCUCAUGCACGAAAGCGUGGGAAGCAAACAGG
rnacentral:rRNA from 1 species